rnacentral:piRNA from 1 species
UCCUGGAUCUGAAGGCAAUGCGUUGG